rnacentral:piRNA from 2 species
UGCCCAUUUCAAAGGUGUCAGUAGGUUGCC